rnacentral:rRNA from 1 species
GUCAAGUGAACAAGCGCAUCUGGUGGAUGCCUUGGCGGCAACAGGCGAUGAAGGACGUAGUAGCCUGCGAUAAGUCACGGGGAGCUGGCAAACAAGCUUUGAUCCGUGAAUUUCCGAAUGGGGCAACCCGGCCCGCAAGGGUCAUCCUGCACUGAAUUCAUAGGUGUAGGAGGCGAACCCGGAGAACUGAAACAUCUCAGUACCCGGAGGAAAAGAAAUCAACCGAGAUUCCCUGAGUAGCGGCGAGCGAAAGGGGACCAGCCGAUCCGAUAUGUCGUAGUGGAAGCCUCUGGAAAGUGGCGCCAUAGUGGGUGAUAGCCCCGUA